UGAGGAAUAUUGGGCAAUGCCCGCAAGGGUGACCCAGCAACGCCGCGUGGAGGACGAAUGUCGUAAGAUUGUAAACUCCUGUUAGAGGGGAAGAAUAGUACCGGUUGGACCGGUAUAUGACUGUACCCUCAGAGAAAGCCCCGGCUAACUACGUGCCAGCAGCCGCGGUAAUACGUAGGGGGCAAGCGUUGUCCGGAUUUACUGGGUGUAAAGGGCGCGCAGGCGGGAUAAAAAGUCAGUGGUGAAAUCCUACAGCUUAACUGUAGAACUGCCUUUGAUACUGUUAUUCUUGAGUUCAGGAGAGAGAGACGGAAUUCCAGGUGUAGUGGUGAAAUACGUAGAUAUCUGGAAGAACACCAGUUGCGAAGGCGGUCUCUUGGUCCGACACUGACGCUGAGGCGCGAAAGCGUGGGGAGCAAACA
rnacentral:rRNA from 1 species